CAGCCUCCCACGUCCCUCCAGACAGGCAAGGCCCUGGCACCAGCCUGCCCCUCCAGGCAUAGCUGUCCCCUGAGGACAGACAGGGAGCAGAGACCCCGGGAAAUGCUUCCAGUGAAGCCCUCUUCAACAGGAGAGCAGCUUUGAAAUAACCCUGUGAGUGAGCAGGAAGAUGGGUAGAAGAUGGGAGGGACUCCAUUGACAGCUUUCCAGGAACAGCGAUUGCACCAAAGGUCUGCGUGGGCAGCGCUGAGGCAGCCUGUGGUCUGCCAGCGCCCUCAGGCUCUGAGUUCCACCCAGGGAGUCUUGGUGGAAAGAACAGGGAGAUCCAGGGUGAGCUGGGUCUUCGCCAUCCCUGAGCCUCUCCCUGUGGCGCUGGAGGGUCCUCCACACCCAAGCUGGCCCCUCAGGGGCAGGCUGGGCUCCAGCUAGCUGGGCUGGGCAGGCCGAUACUCUCUCCUCUGCCUCCGGCACAGUCCAAGAUCCAGGUGGGAGACCGUGAUAUCCAGAGCAGGAGGUUCAGGCUUCAGCCUUAGACCUGCAGUCUUGGGCCCCAUUCUUCUCUCUUUGGCUGGACAGGAGAUAGUUUGCUGUCUUAUGUCUGUAAGCACGUAGUUGGGAAAUGAGCAAGACUUGGAGCCUUAAAGAUGUCCUUCCUGCUGCAGAGAGGAUGAAAUAAAGCCACGGCUCCAUGCCCACCUGCCAUUUGCUACCCCUGGCCUGCCUGAAUGGCCGUGGAGCGUGUGCAGCUUCUUGGGGUUAGGAUGGGGAAGCCACUGAGGAUUAAGAAGUCACUACCAUCACCAUCAUCAUGGUCUGGCUCUUCCAGCCGGGCCAGAGAAGCCCAUCCUGGGAACUAACGACAAGCUAUCGUCAGGUGCCCUCCCACCUCUCAGUGCCCUGCUUCCUUGCCUCGUGGCCCACUGGCUGGGAAGCCGCCUCCCUCCUUUGGGGCACCUUGCUCUUGUGCUCUUGAAGUGCUGCCUGCCUCUCACAGCCCCUCUGCUCACACUGUGGGCACCCUUCCCACACCCUGUCAGACCCACAAGAGUGCUGUUGUGCACAGGACUCCCUGUGUGUUUACAGGCACAGACCCAGGUCCCAGAGUCAGGUGUGUCACACAGCAUAUCUGCCUAGUAGAUGAACUGAAUGCAGAGAUGCUGUGUCCCUAUGUACCCCUAUCCUUUCCAGAACAAAGGCCACUUGUGGAGAAGGGGUGAGUCACCUAGCAACCUGUGGGACCUGCUGAGCCAGCAAGAUAGGAAGCCCUGCUGGGCCUGGCAAUGCCCACCUGUAAUCCCAGUGCUCAGGAGGCUGAGGCUGGAGGAACCCCUUUGAGCUCAGUACAAGCGUGGGCUACAUGGUGAGUUCAAGGCCAGCUUGGACUACAGAGCAAGACAGAACAAAAACAGAACAUGGCUGGGGACGUGGCUCAGUACAGAGGCCCUGGGUUCAGUUCCCAGCACUGGGAGGAGAAAAUAAUGGACUGGGGGUACAUCUUGGUAGUACAACACCCUGUCCCAGGAAGAGAAAAACCUAAAUAUACUGAGUUUGUUUUGUUUUGUUUUUAUGAGAAAAGGCCUCUCUAUUUAGUCCAGGCUGGCCUUGAACUCACAGUAUAGUCCAGGCUGGCUCUGACCUUAGCCAUUGUUGUUUUGCUUUGGUUUGGUUUGCUUUCUUUGUUUGUUUUUUGAGAAAGGGCUUCACUAUGUAGCACAGGUUGUCCUUGAAUUCAUAAUGUAUCCCAGGCUGGUCUUGAACUCAUGGAGAUCCUCCUGCCUUAGCCUCUUCUGUUAAGAUUACAGGUGUGCACCACAAUACCCAGCAUGUUCUUUAUUGUAAAUUUUAGAAUCAAUUGCUCUGUAGAAGGCUUUCUCUGAUUUUUUUGUUUUUGUUUUUCAUUGGUUAAGUGAAGAUCUCACUAUGUAGCUCAGGUUGGCUUUGGGCUCACUCAGUAGCCUCAAACUCGUGGCAACCCUCUUGCCUCAGCCAUGUACACUGGCUUGCUUUCUUUGAUUUUUGCCAACUCUGUAUCUGCAGCCAAUGUCUGGUUGUAAUUCAUAAGCUUUGUAAAAAAGAAGACCAUGAAUAAAUGUUUGAUUACUAUUCAA